AUACGUAGGUGGCGAGCGUUAUCCGGAUUUACUGGGUGUAAAGGGCGCGUAGGCGGGUCUGCAAGUCAGAUGUGAAAUACCGGGGCUCAACCCCGGGGCUGCAUUUGAAACUGCAGGUCUUGAGUGAUGGAGAGGCAAGUGGAAUUCCUAGUGUAGCGGUGAAAUGCGUAGAUAUUAGGAGGAACACCAGUGGCGAAGGCGACUUGCUGGACAUUAACUGACGCUGAGGCGCGAAAGCGUGGGGAGC
rnacentral:rRNA from 1 species